rnacentral:lncRNA from 1 species
GUGACAUCAUCUCUUGUGUCAUACAGUUCAAUUCUAGUGAGGGAAGUAAACAAGUAAAUAGAUGCUUUUAUACAGAGUGCUGUGAUAGAUAUCAGCACGGCAUGUGUGGGGAGGAGGAAGAAGAGAUCAGUGGUAAUUGCAGGCAGUGAAAUAAGACUCACAGAGGUGGAAAUAAAUGCAGUUGGGACUGAGGAUAGAAGCUUUGGGCUGAUACAUCUGAUCUUCAAGUUGGAGAAACCUUGGAGCAGGAAGAGGAAGAUAUGGGAUGUGCACCUAUGCAAAGAAAGCACAGCUAAGUCACCCCUGUGAGAAUCUGGUCCAGCUCCAAGCAGAACCACGGGAGGUGGGCUUGGAAUAAGACGAGACACAGAGCUGAGAGGCUGCGAAAUAGGACAGCAUAAGAGACUCAUGUAGGUCUCCUGGCGAUCGUGACCUCCACGCAUAUGUUCAGCCAGAGCCUCGCUGUGGGCAUCUGAACUGACCACAGUGAGGGCAUCAGAGGGCACUGUCCCUGUCGCUCACACUCCCAGAGCUACAACUUGGCAGCAGUCUGCCUGACAUCGAGUAUGCUUUGAUUCCAGGUGACCAGUGCUCUUUGUGGUUGAGUCUGACACCAGGAGCAGCGCGAGCCAUUAAGGAUUUAAUAAUGUAAUUAUAACAAGGCGACACAGUGUGGAGAACAGAGAGCCCUCGUCUGCCUCAACAGCAUGCUCCAGGCCUCACCAAGGGCCACUCUUUGAAAUGAAGGGGGGUGUUGAAAAUGCAGAGCAGAAAGAUUGAUAAUUAUUUGAAACAAGCUUAAACAUUUGGAUUGCUCCAGCCGCCUUAAAUCACUCUGCCAUAUUUAUACUUGACUAGUGUUCUACAUAACAACUCCCAAAUCAAAGACUUUUGAAAAAUUUCAAUCACUGUGUUUUGAAGUGAUUGAGAGCUCAGGGCGUGAGCAGUGUAGAAAUAAGGCAUAUUAACAUUAUUAGCGCGACAAAUUUCCUGAAGUAGUUACAUUAAGAAAUGAUCAAGGCCUUAGCCUCUAUAAAGGAGAGGGGGCGGCGUGUGGCUCAGGCAUUUGGGUUUGAAAGGAGCUUAACUCUUUUGAUGCCGAGAGGAGAUGAGUGGUCUGAGAAGUCAUGACUCCAAGUAGAUUGUGCUGUCAGGAAGAGAUCACCUCUCCUGUCAGCACAGGUGACAAGCAGAAACUCGGGAUGGGGAAGAAGAGGCAAGGAGAUCAUAGAUAUACCUAACUCUUCC